rnacentral:rRNA from 1 species
UGAGUUUGAUCCUGGCUCAGAAUGAACGCUAGCAAUAUACUUUACACAUGCAAGUUUAACACUAUUUAUAGUGUAGCGAACGGGUGAGUAAUACGCAAGAAUCUACCUAUAGUUUUGGUUAAAUACCAAUAAUGGAAAAAUUCGGUUUUAGAUGAGCUUGGGUAGGAUUAGGUAGUUGUUAAGGUAAGAGCCUACCAAGCCAAUGAUCCUUAGCUGGUCUGAGAGGAUGAUCAGCCACACUGGGACUGAGACACGGCCCAGAUUCAAUUGAAGCAGCAGUGGGGAAUAUUGGACAAUGGGGGAAACCCUGAUUCAGUAAUAUUGCGUGAGGUUAGUAAUAAAGCUAAUUUCUAGACUCAAAAGUAGAAAAUGACCAUUUUUGAGGAAAAGCCCCGGCUAACAUCCGUGCCAGCAGCCGCGGUGAUACGGAGGGGGCAAGUGUUAUUCGGAAUGACUGGGCGUAAAGGGCACGUAGGCUGAUUUAAUUAUUAUAUAGUUCAAAUGCUAAAGUAAACCUUUAGUAGUGACUUAUUUAUAUAAAUCUUGAGCUUGAAAGGGGAAAAUAGAAUUUCUGGUGUAGAGGUUAAAUUCGUAGAUCUCAGGAGGAAUGCCAAAGGCGAAGGCAAUUUUCUAGUUCAAAGCUGACGCUGAGGUGCGAAGGCACAAGUAUCGAGCGGGAUUAGAUACCCCGUUAGUUUGUGCAGUCAACUAUGUCGAUUCACCUUUGGAUUAAAAUUAUAUUCUGAGGUCUAGCUAACGCGUUAAAUCGACCGCCUGAGGACUACGGUCGCAAGAUUAAAACUCAAAGGAAUUGACGGGGGCUCGUACACGCAGUGGAGUAUGCUCUUUAAUUCGACACAACGCGAAAAACCUUACCCGUCCUUGACAUAUUUUAUUAGACUUAAAUAUAUCUUUAAGCUUAAAUGAAUACAGGUGCUGCAUGGCUGUCGACAGUUCGUGUCGUGAGAUGUUUGGUUAAGUCCUCAAACGAGCGAAACCCUUCUUUUCUUCUAAACAAAAGAAAAGACAAUCUGUGACAAACAGAAGGCAGAAGGAUGACGUCAAGUCUUCAUGGCCCUUAUGGACGGGGCUAGAAGCGUACUACAAUGGAAAUUACAAAAGGAGGCAAAGAUGCAAAUCUCAGCAAACCCUAAAAGAUUUUCUAAGUUGGAAUUGGUCUCUGCAACUCGAGACCAUGAACCUGGAAUUGCGAGUAAUCGUAGAUCAGCAUGCUACGGUGAAACUGUACCCGAGCCUUGUACACACCGCCCGUCACAUUUUGGGAGCAUUUUUUACUCCAGGCUUAGAUAAUUACACUUCUAGUAUAAAAAACGAGUACACAAUUAUUUAAAUCAGAAAAAAAAAGCGCGACUGAAAUGAAGUCGUAACAAGGUAACCGUAGGGGAACCUGUGGUUGGAAUAAAG